rnacentral:lncRNA from 1 species
AAGACUUUUCCAGCUUCCGACCUUGUGUGGCAUCUCUCUGAACCCCCUCGACCGUCCGAGUUUUCAUGAUACCAUCCGGACUUCUCCGAUAAUGAGCUUCUCCAUUCAUCUACCGAGCCGCUCCAAAGGCUCUCUGGGCUUCACUAUCAAUCGAUCUUCUGUAGUGAUCAACUAUUCUCUGAAUCUCUUCCAGACUUCUUCCGACCACGAACGAUCCUACUCUGAACUCCUACAGCAAGCAGUCUACUCUAAACUUCUACAGCAAGCAGUCUACUCCGAACUCCUAUUGCAGGUGGUCUACUUCGGAUAUCUACUCCGGAUCCCGGACGAGCUUCUACAAUGGGACAGGCUCCACCGGUC